CGUCGUAACAAUAUCAGUACCGGUAAUAAUUUCUAUUGAAAAUCAGUAGAGAUAUCUUUAACAAGUGAUAAAAUGAAGUACUGAUAAUAUGGGAAGAGA